rnacentral:rRNA from 1 species
AUGGUACUCCUCGAAGAGUGUCAGGACGCGCGUGGCCGCAGCUUCAUCUCUGGCGGUGGCAUCCUCCUUGGCCUCCCACCAUGCCUUCUCCGCCUCCCGGUGAUGCUUGAGCGCGGGGGAGAAGAUGUAGUCGAGGCGGUUGAAGUUCUCUCACGCUCGAGUGCCGACGCUACGGGAGCGGGCAUCGCGGAGAAAACCGUAGGGAACCGCUACCGGCUACCGGCUCGCGGCAGGAACAACACCGACCCGUCGUCCCCUUCUAUCCCUCCCCCACCGCCGGCCGCCGCCCGCUCGUCACCGGUUUAUGUUUUGGCAUGCUGCGGGACAGAUUAA